GGAUUCUGGCUCAGGAUGAACGCUGGCGGCGUGCUUAACACAUGCAAGUCGAACGGGAUCCCUGGCGCUUGCGCCGGGGUGAGAGUGGCGAACGGGUGAGUAAUGCGUGACCAACCUGCCCCAUGCACCGGAAUAGCUCCUGGAAACGGGUGGUAAUGCCGGAUGCACCAGAUGACCGCAUGGGAUUCUGGGAAAGCUUAUGCGGCAUGGGAUGGGGUCGCGUCCUAUCAGCUCAUUGGUGGGGUGAUGGCCCACCAAGGCUUCGACGGGUAGCCGGCCUGAGAGGAAGACCGGCCACAUUGGGACUGAGAUACGGCCCAGACUCCUACGGGAGGCAGCAGUGGGGAAUAUUGCGCAAUGGGCGAAAGCCUGACGCAGCGACGCCGCGUGCGGGAUGGAGGAUUCGGGUUGUAAACCGCUUUUAUCGGGGAGCAAGCGAGAGUGAGUGUACCCGUUGAAUAAGCACGGGCUAACUACGUGCCAGCAGCCGCGGUAAUACGUAGGGUGCAAGCGUUAUCCGGAUUUAUUGGGCGUAAAGGGCUCGUAGGCGGUUCGUCGCGUCUGGUGUGAAAGUCUUUCGCUUAACGGUGUAUCUGCGCCGGGUACGGGCGGGCUGGAGUGCGGCAUGGGAGACUGGCAUUCCCGGUGUAACGGUGGAAUGUGUAGAUAUCGGGAAGAACACCAAUGGCGAAGGCAGGUCUCUGGGCCGUUACGAACGCUGAGGAGCGAAAGCGUGGGGAGCGAACAGGAUUAGAUACCCUGGUAGUCCACGCCGUAAACGGUGGAUGCUGGAUGUGGGGCCCUUUCCACGGGUUCCGUGUCGGAGCUAACGCGUUAAGCAUCCCGCCUGGGGAGUACGGCCGCAAGGCUAAAACUCAAAGAAAUUGACGGGGGCCCGCACAAGCGGCGGAGCAUNCGGAUUAAUUCGAUGCAACGCGAAGAACCUUACCCGGGCUUGACAUGUUCCCGACGACGGCAGAGAUGUCGUUUCCC
rnacentral:rRNA from 1 species